ACUCCUACGGGAGGCAGCAGUCGAGAAUCUUCCGCAAUGGGCGCAAGCCUGACGGAGCGACGCCGCGUGAAGGAUGACGGCCCUCGGGUUGUAAACUUCUGUCAGUCGAGAAGAACGUCCAAGGUGACCCCUGGGACUGACGUUAUCGACAGAGGAAGCCACGGCUAACUUUCGUGCCAGCAGCCGCGGUAAUACGAAGGUGGCAACCGUUUGCUCGGAUUUUACUGGGCAUAAAGCGCGCGUAGGCGGUUACGCAAGUCAUCGGUGAAAUCCUCCGGCCCAACCGGAGAAUAGCCGCUGAAACUGCGUAACUUGAGUACGGGAGGGAGAGUGGAACUCUUGGUGUAGCGGUGAAAUGCGUAGAUAUCAAGAGGAACGCCGGUGGCGAAAGCGACUCUCUGGACCGUAACUGACGCUGAGGUGCGAAAGCUAGGGGAGCAAACAGGAUUAGAUACCCUGGUAGACUGUCA
rnacentral:rRNA from 1 species